ACGAUUCUUACUUUACUCCAAAAAGAAAAAAGAAAGGAUUCUUUUGUUACUAGCAAGUUCAAAAUCUCUGCAAAUCCAACACUGAUAAUCAGAUCAGCACAAUCUCUGAUUCUCUCUUCUCCCACACUGCUUGAUCGAUCUGUUUUGUUUACCAUGAAAGCGUUCGUUCAUUAUUCUUAUGUCGAUUUACAUUGUACAUGUAGACUUCCACCACUUAAUUUAGUAUUCGUUUUAAUUAUUUCUUAAGCUGGAGAGUUUUUCUCCAAGAAAGAGUUUGCCAGUUUGGACUUGUGGAUAAUUAUACGUGUUUCUGUAAUAUGGCUUCUUCUUCUGCACCUGACGGCUUUAGGUAUGAUGUCUUUCUUAGUUUCAGAGGGGAGGACACCCGCAAGACUUUUACCAGCCAUCUUCUUGCGGCUUUAGAUAGGGAGCAAAUCAAAACCUAGAUGACGAACUUAAGAGCGGAGAGGAAAUUGAACCUGCCCUUCUUAAAGCAAUUGAGGAAUCAAAGCUUUCCGUGGUCAUUUUGUCACAAAACUAUGCUUCUUCCACAUGGUGCUUGGAUGAACUUGCACAUAUUAUGGAAUGUAAAGAAAGAAAUAAACAAUUGGUUAUGCCUAUUUUUUACGAAGUAGAUCCGUCACGUGUACACCACCAGAGGGAGAGCUAUGCAGCUGCAUUUGUUCGACAUGAAGAACAUUUCAAGGACAAGCCAGACAAGGUGCUCAAGUGGAGGGAUACUUUAACUAAAUCUUCCAAACUAGCUGGGUUUGAUUCACGCAGCUUUCGCCAGGAAUCCGAACUAGUUGAGGGAGUUGUCGAAGAUGAUGUGAUGAAGUUGAAUCGCUAAUGCUCAAGCGAUUUGAAGGGCUUGGUUGGAAUUGAAAGUCACAUUAAGCUAUGCAUUGCCCCACAAGACGUUGAGUUCACCUCCUGGCUACUCUUCUGGUGGGAGGAGAAACAAUGGCAAAGAGCUUAAAACAUCUGUAGCACAAAAUGAAUGCUUCAAGUGUGGUCGUCCAGGACAUUGGGCCAAAGAUUGCCCUUCAGCAGGUGAUCAAGACAUGUAUGUAAGGAAAAUGGGAAGGGCAUCCUCGGGUUGGAGCAACUAUGGGGGAGGAGAUAGUUCAUCUGCGGGGAGAAAUGAAUGCUUCAAGUGUGGCCGCCCAGGACAUUGGGCACGAGAUUGCCCUUCUGCAACUGAUCAGGAAAUGCAUGGAAGUGGUCAAGCGGGAGGGGACGACUCAAACAAUGAUUACAUUGUUUACUCAUAUGGUGGAAGGAGAAGCCCUUACUGGGAAAAUGUCUGCUUCAAGUGUGGGUGGCCCGGACAUUGGCAGCAUGAGUGCCCUUCAGCAAAUGGUGGAGGUGGAAACGACGAUGACUCUGAUUGAAAGCACAGAGAAAUUUGAGUAAAGAACUAGGAGAUCGAGUCUAGAGGCAACUAUCAGCUCUCAGAGCUGUAGUGAAGGAAUGAGUACCACAUCGGAGAAAGGGAAACUCUACCGGCGUUGAAAUACGGAUGCACGUGCCAAGAGUUAGCUACCUUACCUGAAUAGGAUAUGUUUUGAUAGAUCGUACCUCUCUUAUCUUGCUUGUCUGUGAGACGGGGACGGUCUGUUGGCUGUCUGACAGGUUCUUCCCCUCUUUUUAUUUUUUCUUCUUUUUACAAUUUUGUUUCUUCUUAGUUUUCAAAUAUUUCAGCGGAAAUUUGAAAUUGGGAUCUCAUCCAUCUCUUCGUAUUAAAUUUGUUAACAUUACCUUUAAUGUAGAUGCUCCUUUUUUAUGCUAUAGAAAUGCUUACACCAUAUGCAUGCUUAUGCAUUUGAACUGAAACUUUCUCAUGAUGAACACAACAAAUGUAAUUAGUUACAAUUACUAGCUGAAAGCCUGAAAGGAAACAAACUUAUACAAAGAUAGAAAAUAAUCUAAUUUUGCACCCAUUACAUACCAAACCAGAUACAUGAUAAAAUUCCUCUUUCUUUUAGCCUAAGCUCUUAGAGCUCAUCCUCCUUCUUGUCAUCUUUUGAGACCAGCAUGGGACUCCC